UUUUAAAAGCAACCCUGCAUUAAAUGUAUUCGGUAAAUUGAUAUGCGAAAUGCAAUAUGGCGUCGUCAGUGUUGUGCUGUGGCUUUUGUAACUAAAACUCCGUUUUGACAUCACACUACUUUCAUCAUAAUCUGAUAACACCAUCGAAAACGAAUAAAAAAUCAAAAGUUGAAAAAUUUAAUAAUAACCAAUACCUUAAGCUCAAAACAGGCAUUGCAGGAGGAAGUUGCGGAGGAGAUAUUCUACUCCAAUUUUUUUAUUUAAAUUUUGAAUUAUAAAAAUUUUCAAUUCCAAAGAUCAAAUAAUCAACAGAAAAAAGAAAAAAGAAAAAAGUGCGAAAUAUUAAAAUAAUAAAGUGAGAAGAAAAAUAAAACUAUUUAAAUUUAAUAAGGCUGCUCCUUACGGAUAUUAGCGUGAGCUUGCCGUUCGGUUGUAGAAACAAAACAAUAGUCAAUCAAGCAAAGCUUUUGACGAAAGUCCUAAAAAAGUUGUGAAAACAAAACAGAGAUAUACGUUGAAAUUCUACGUAAAACCCCCCAUAUCUUUAAAAUACUCAUUACGGAUAGAACAUCAACAUCAACAACAACAACAACAACAACAACAACAAACCAACGUCAGCCAGCUUUAGCAUUUACAGCUUGCAAUACUAGGCAUAGCCUGAUAAAUAUUGAUUGAAGAAAACUGAUUGAUCAUAGUUAGCAGCUCUCCAGCUCUUCAGCUAAGGACAUCAAUAACGACAACAACAACAACAAAGAAAAAGAAAAGAAUUUUAACACAAACGCUAGAAACAAACAUAAAAGACUAAAAGUAGUUGCAACAAUUGCAACUGCAGCAAUUUCACCAGUAAAAAGCCAGUCCAUUCUACAGCACAACAUUUUUACAAAAACAAAAACAAAAAUAACAAAAAUUUAAGUGAAUUUUUUUAAUAAUUCUUUAGGAGCUCGAAUAAGUCCCCAAAAUUCCUCAAUUUUUUAUUUAACGGAAACCAAAAGCAACAUUUGGAUCUUACUUAUAUUUUUAUAUUUAUUUAACCAAAUCAUAAAAAUCUCCCCGCCCACUGUCGUUGUUAUUAGAAAAUCAAGAAAACAUAAACAACAGCUAUAACUGCAAAACUGCAAAAACUCAACACAGCAACACAAACAAACAACUGAAAAGUAAAGUUUUAAAGUACAAAACAAAUAAAAAACUAAUAUAAAAUAUAUAUUAAAAGCAAGAAAUUUAAAAAGAAACCAAAAAACAAAAAAAAAAAAAACAAAAAAUUAUAUAAAUAAACGCAACAUAAACAUUAUUAUAAUUCAUAUAUCUUUAUUAUUAAGAUUUGUACUAUAAUGAAUAAAUAAUUUUAAAAUAAGUGUUAUAAAUACUACACAGCAAAAGUAGCUAGGAGCUAGCGAUUUUCGCUGUCCCCUUAAAGGAGUUGAUCUUACUCUGGAUCAGUUCUCACCUCACAAGAACAAUAUCAACGAAGGAGCAGGAGUGUGAAAUAAAAACAAACAUAAACAAAACUAACGGAAACAAUAACUUAAUAAAUUUAUUAGUUUAAUAAUAUACAUGUAAUACUAUUAAAAACUAUAUAUAACUGAGUAAAAAAAAAAACAAAACAAAAAAAAAGAAUUUAAUUAAUUUUACAUGAACACACAAAUGCAUUGUAAACAACAGUUUUAUUAGAAAAAUUACUAAGCCAACAUUAAACGUUUAUUAAUUUAAAUAAAUAAAAAUUAAAAAAAUAUUUAAAAGUAUUUAGUAUUUGCCUGUAAGAAACGAGAGUGGAAAAGAG